GACGAACGCUGGCGGCGUGCCUAAUACAUGCAGGUAGAACGCUGAAGAGAGGAGCUUGCUCUUCUUGGAUGAGUUGCGAACGGGUGAGUAACGCGUAGGUAACCUGCCUGGUAGCGGGGGAUAACUAUUGGAAACGAUAGCUAAUACCGCAUAAAAUUGAUUAUUGCAUGAUAAUUAAUUGAAAGAUGCAACUGCAUCACUACCAGAUGGACCUGCGUUGUAUUAGCUAGUUGGUGAGGUAACGGCUCACCAAGGCGACGAUACAUGGCCGACCUGAGAGGGGGAUCGGCCACACUGGGACUGAGACACGGCCAAGACUCCUACGGGAGGCAGCAGUAGGGAAUCUUCGGCAAUGGGGGGAACCCUGACCGAGCAACGCCGCGUGAGGGAAGAAGGGUUUCGGAUCGUAAAGCUCUGUUGUAAGAGAAGAACGGGUGUGAGAGUGGAAAGUUCACACUGUGACGGUAUCUUACCAGAAAGGGACGGCUAACUACGUG
rnacentral:rRNA from 1 species